GCUGGCGGCAGGCCUAACACAUGCAAGUCGAGCGGUAGAGAGAAGCUUGCUUCUCUUGAGAGCGGCGGACGGGUGAGUAAAGCCUAGGAAUCUGCCUGGUAGUGGGGGAUAACGUUCGGAAACGGACGCUAAUACCGCAUACGUCCUACGGGAGAAAGCAGGGGACCUUCGGGCCUUGCGCUAUCAGAUGAGCCUAGGUCGGAUUAGCUAGUUGGUGAGGUAAUGGCUCACCAAGGCGACGAUCCGUAACUGGUCUGAGAGGAUGAUCAGUCACACUGGAACUGAGACACGGUCCAGACUCCUACGGGAGGCAGCAGUGGGGAAUAUUGGACAAUGGGCGAAAGCCUGAUCCAGCCAUGCCGCGUGUGUGAAGAAGGUCUUCGGAUUGUAAAGCACUUUAAGUUGGGAGGAAGGGCAUUAACCUAAUACGUUAGUGUUUUGACGUUACCGACAGAAUAAGCACCGGCUAACUCUGUGCCAGCAGCCGCGGUAAUACAGAGGGUGCAAGCGUUAAUCGGAAUUACUGGGCGUAAAGCGCGCGUAGGUGGUUUGUUAAGUUGGAUGUGAAAUCCCCGGGCUCAACCUGGGAACUGCAUUCAAAACUGACUGACUAAAGUAUGGUAGAGGGUGGUGGAAUUUCCUGUGUAGCGGUGAAAUGCGUAGAUAUAGGAAGGAACACCAGUGGCGAAGGCGACCACCUGGACUAAUACUGACACUGAGGUGCGAAAGCGUGGGGAGCAAACAGGAUUAGAUACCCUGGUAGUCCACGCCGUAAACGAUGUCAACUAGCCGUUGGGGAGCCUUGAGCUCUUAGUGGCGCAGCUAACGCA
rnacentral:rRNA from 1 species